CAGCUAGUUGGUAGGGUAACGGCCUACCAAGGCGACGAUCCGUAGCUGGUCUGAGAGGACGACCAGCCACACUGGGACUGAGACACGGCCCAGACUCCUACGGGAGGCAGCAGUGGGGAAUAUUGGACAAUGGGGGAAACCCUGAUCCAGCGACGCCGCGUGUGUGAAGAAGGCCUGCGGGUUGUAAAGCACUUUUAGUGGGGAUGAAAUGUUCACGGCUAAUACCCGUGGAUUUUGACCUAACCCACAGAAAAAGCACCGGCUAACUCUGUGCCAGCAGCCGCGGUAAUACAGAGGGUGCAAGCGUUAAUCGGAAUUACUGGGCGUAAAGCGUGCGUAGACGGUUACAUAAGUCGGGUGUGAAAGCCCCGGGCUCAACCUGGGAAUUGCAUUCGAGACUGCAUAGCUAGGGUGCGGAAGAGGGAAGCGGAAUUUCCGGUGUAGCGGUGAAAU
rnacentral:rRNA from 1 species